UGGAAGCCUAGUGAAAUCGUAGAC
rnacentral:siRNA from 1 species